rfam:Echinostoma caproni strain Egypt genome assembly, scaffold: ECPE_scaffold0020777
GCACUGCUGACGAGUCUCAAACAGGACGAAACAGCUGUCUAGUGC